rnacentral:rRNA from 1 species
UGAGAAUCUGGCUUUAGGUUCGGGACAACAGUGGGAAACUGCUGCUAAUACCGAAUGUGCAGAAACGUGAAAGAUUAAUUGCCUGAAGAUGAGCUCGCGUCUGAUUAGCUAGUUGGUGAGGUAAAGGCUCACCAAGGCGACGAUCAGUAACUGGUCUGAGAGGAUGACCAGUCACACUGGGACUGAGACACGGCCCAGACUCCUACGGGAGGCAGCAGUGGGGAAUUUUCCGCAAUGGGCGAAAGCCUGACGGAGCAAUACCGCGUGAGGGAGGAAGGCUCUUGGGUUGUAAACCUCUUUUCUCAGGGAAGAAAAAAAUGACGGUACCUGAGGAAUAAGCAUCGGCUAACUCCGUGCCAGCAGCCGCGGUAAUACGGAGGAUGCAAGCGUUAUCCGGAAUUAUUGGGCGUAAAGCGUCCGCAGGUGGCAAUUCAAGUCUGCUGUCAAAGGUUCUGGCUUAACCAGAAACAGGCAGUGGAAACUGAAUAGCUAGAGUGCGGUAGGGGCAGAGGGAAUUCCCAGUGUAGCGGUGAAAUGCGUAGAGAUUGGGAAGAACACCGGUGGCGAAAGCGCUCUGCUAGGCCGUAACUGACACUCAUGGACGAAAGCUAGGGGAGCGAAUGGGAUUAGAUACCCCAGUAGUCCUAGCCGUAAACGAUGGAUACUAG